GAUGAACGCUGGCGGCGUGCCUAAUACAUGCAAGUCGAGCGAACAGAUGAGGAGCUUGCUCCUCUGACGUUAGCGGCGGACGGGUGAGUAACACGUGGAUAACCUACCUAUAAGACUGGGAUAACUUCGGGAAACCGGAGCUAAUACCGGAUAAUAUAUUGAACCGCAUGGUUCAAUAGUGAAAGACGGUUUUGCUGUCACUUAUAGAUGGAUCCGCGCCGCAUUAGCUAGUUGGUAAGGUAACGGCUUACCAAGGCAACGAUGCGUAGCCGACCUGAGAGGGUGAUCGGCCGCACUGGAACUGAGACACGGUCCAGACUCCUACGGGAGGCAGCAGUAGGGAAUCUUCCGCAAUGGGCGAAAGCCUGACGGAGCAACGCCGCGUGAGUGAUGAAGGUCUUCGGAUCGUAAAACUCUGUUAUUAGGGAAGAACAAAUGUGUAAGUAACUAUGCACGUCUUGACGGUACCUAAUCAGAAAGCCACGGCUAACUACG
rnacentral:rRNA from 1 species